rnacentral:rRNA from 1 species
CGGUAGCAAUACGUCAGCGGCAGACGGGUGGGUAACGCGUGGGAACAUACCUUUUGGUUCGGAACAACACAGGGAAACUUGUGCUAAUACCGGAUAAGCCCUUACGGGGAAAGAUUUAUCGCCGAAAGAUUGGCCCGCGUCUGAUUAGCUAGUUGGUGAGGUAACGGCUCACCAAGGCGACGAUCAGUAGCUGGUCUGAGAGGAUGAUCAGCCACAUUGGGACUGAGACACGGCCCAA